rnacentral:rRNA from 1 species
AAUAGCCUAACGGCUGAACCAGCAACUUGGAGGAAUGAAUAGCGAAAGCUAAUUGCACCUUAUAUGGUACAAUAUCGAUUUAAUCGAAUAAAGUUCUGGGUAGAAUUAUGAUAAUGACAUAGUCUAUAUAUUUCUUGACCAAAUUACGUGCCAGCAGUCGCGGCAAUACGUAGCAGAUAAGUGUUAUUCAUCUUUAAUAGGUUUAAAGGGUACCUAGACGGUAAAUAAAGCCUCUGAGAGGGACUAGUUUACUAGAGUUAUAUAUGAGGGGGCUGAUAAGUACUAUUGGUGUAGAGAUAAAAUUUUUUGAUACCUUUUUUCUAAGGAAAAAAUAUGGCACUGGUUUAGGCGAAAGCAUCUCCUUAUGUGUUAACUGACGUUGAGGGACGAAGGCUUUUUGUAGCGAACAGGAUUAGUUACCCCAGUAGUUGAAGCAGAAAAUGAUGAGUGUCAUAGAUUAGAUAUAUAUUUAUUCUAUAAAUUAAAGUGUAAGCACUCCACCUCAAGAGUAAUUUGGCAACAUUGGAACUGAAAUCAUUAGACCGUUUCUGAAACCAGUAGUGAAGUAUGUUGUUUAAUUAGAUGACCCGCAAAAAACCUUACCACAAUUUGAAUAUUUAUAUUUUAUUGUUAUUAUCUAUACUAGAGUUAUUAUAGGCUAAUAACAGCAAACAAAUAUAUUUACAAGCGUUGCACGGCUGUCUUCAGUUAAUGUCGCGAGACUUUGGUUAGUUCCAUAAAAUUAACGUAAACCCUUAUUUUAUUUUUAUAUAAAAUAGUUCUCCGCUAUAUUGGAAAUGAUAACAGGGAUCAAGACAAGCCAUCAUGACCUAAAUAUUGUGGGCUACAGACGUGCCACAUAGGCCAUACAAAAGGAUGUGAAAUUGCGAAAUUGAGCUAAUCCCCUAAAAAUGGAUAUAAACUGUCA